AGAAAUUAAUACUCCUACUAGCUUAAUUGCUUUAGGUUUUCAAUAAAUCCAAAAAUGGUUUCAAGAAGAAUUGCAAUCAUGGCUCUUUUUUUAUUGAUGGCUCUUCUCAUUCAGUCACAAGUUGCGGACGCUCGACAGCUCAAUUCAGUUCCAUCUAAUGAAGGAGAAAAGAUGGGAACUUUAGCUAAUUGUCCCCAUGGAUGCUGUAAUAGCACAGGCAAAGGCAAAGGCAAAGGCAUUUGCUACUGCUGCCCAUAUCCCAACACCCACGUCAUUCCAACCAACAUCCGUACUUAAAUGUUUUAUUUUAUGUAAAAUCAAGGUAUUGAAUAAACAUAAAUUAAGUGAAGUAAGGUCAGUGUAUUAUUGUUGUAUUUGAAAUGUAUGAGGCCCGAACGAAAUGUUUGUCUUAUCAUUACUACUUCUUAAUCACAAUGUGUAUACAUAGUAGUAAUAUCAAUUAUACUAUUGUUGUAA